UAGGGAAUUUUGCGCAAUGGGCGAAAGCCUGACGCAGCAACACCGCGUGUAGGAUGAAGGAUUUCGGUUCGUAAACUACUGUCAGCAGGGAAUAAAUUGACUGUACCUGCAGAGGAAGCAUCGGCUAACUACGUGCCAGCAGCCGCGGUAAGACGUAGGAUGCAAGCGUUGUCCGGAAUUAUUGGGCGUAAAGAGUUCGUAGGCGGUUACUUAAGUCUGGUGUUAAAUACUGGUGCUCAACGCCAGCAUGGCAUUGGAAACUGGGUAGCUAGAGUGUGUCAGAGGUUACGGGAAUUCCUGGUGUAGCGGUGAAAUGCGUAGAUAUCAGGAGGAACACCGGUGGCGAAAGCGCGUAACUGGGGCAUAACUGACGCUGAGGAACGAAAGCCAGGGGAGCGAA
rnacentral:rRNA from 1 species